AUCAUUAACUAAUGUAUUGGCACUUUACUGGGAUUUACUUCUCAGUAUUGUUUGCUUCUAUACUGUGAACCUCUGGCGAUGAAGGUCGUAACUGACCUUCGGGAGAGACUCAGGACAUAUAGGCUAUAAUGGGUAGGCCUGUUCUGGGGUUUGAUCGAUGCCAAUCAGGAUUACCUUUCUUCCUUUGGGAAGGAAGGUGCCUGGUACCCUUUACCAUAUACCAUGAAUUCAGAAUUGAAAGUAUAAUAUAAUAACAACUUUUAACAAUGGAUCUCUUGGUUCUCGCAUCGAUGAAGAACGUAGCAAAGUGCGAUAACUAGUGUGAAUUGCAUAUUCGUGAAUCAUCGAGUCUUUGAACGCAGCUUGCACUCUAUGGAUCUUCUAUAGAGUACGCUUGCUUCAGUAUCAUAACCAACCCACACAUAAAAUUUAUUUUAUGUGGUGAUGGACAAGCUCGGUUAAAUUUAAUUAUUAUACCGAUUGUCUAAAAUACAGCCUCUUUGUAAUUUUCAUUAAAUUACGAACUACCUAGCCAUCGUGCUUUUUUGGUCCAACCAAAAAACAUAUAAUCUAGGGGUUCUGCUAGCCAGCAGAUAUUUUAAUGAUCUUUAACUAUGAUCUGAAGUCAAGUGGGACUACCCGCUGAACUUAAGCAUAUCAAUAAGCGGAGGAAAAGAAAAUAACAAUGAUUUCCUUAGUAACGGCGAGUGAACAGGAA
rnacentral:rRNA from 1 species